rnacentral:lncRNA from 1 species
ACUGGGGAGGAAAAUUAAAUCCAACACCGACUGGAAAUAUGCUGGACAGAUGAAACGACAGUGACAGAAGACAGGAGAGUAAUUUACCUGAAAAAAAGAAAGAGAUUAGGCUCUGAAUUUUCCAGAUUGUAAUGACAAUACGAAAUAAAUCCAAAGAAAUUGCUUCCCUGACACUCUAUGUACAACCAAAGCAGAAGCCCUGCCACAGCAAAUUAUUGCUCAUUUGAUACCAAGAAUUCUAUUGACCACGGCUUUCGUUGGAGAGCGAAUUCUAACUACUGGCUGCUCUGUUGUCAGCUAGAGCUGAGGCUGGGAACCUUCCACAAGGCUGUGACGGCACACAGAGUCCUCUGCUCCAGGAAGUGCAGAGAUAACGCUGGUGUGUGUUGUCUGCCUGCACCCAAAGCGAUGGUGUUCCUGGAAUGCAAGCACCGCCCGCCAUGCUUGGAGCAUCCUGCCGCAGAGAGAACACUUUCUCCUGGUCUCAGCCCAGACUGACAGCCUGGGGGCCUCGUAGGACACUCGGCCAGAUGACACACACACAAGGGCACCCAGAACCUGUGUCGUGGGCUCCCGGGCAGCUGUGGAUCCAGGAGGCAGGCUGAGCAAGCCAGCAACACUCGCUGCCACUUGUCCAGAAAGCAAGAAAGCGGCAAUAUCCUCAGUGUUAUUUAAGGGAAAAAGACUGGGACCUGCACUGGAGUUUAAAAGUUAGGGGCGGGCUGCUCCCCAGCAUUUCUUUGGAAGGAGGCAGAACUGAGAGCUAUGCAGCUGGCUUGGCGCUUCAGCCCAUAGGAGAGGAGGAAAUUCUCCUCCUCCUCGCUGCACCUUGGAGCAGGUCCUCUGGCAGAGCUCUCGGCUCCCCAGCACCCCGUCAGCCUCCUGCCUCUCCUGCCAGGCCAAUGGAACCAGCAGAACUCGAUAGUAAAUUAUUUUGUUCAGCCCUCUGUCUUUUUAUGAAAAUAAAAGCCAACACUUUGUCAUUUUUAAUCACGUAAGCAGACAAUAAAUCCAAUUUCGAUAUUGAUUUUUUUUUCCAGAAUCAAGUGAUUUUUUGCAGUGUCUGUUGUGUUUCCUUUUGCGAAAAAGAGCCGCUGGCCUCAGAGCGGUGGGGGUGAGGCAGCCUGUGCAGCCAGCUCCUCUGAAACAGGCCACGGCUGUGGACUUUGAAGCCAGGCAGCUGAGCUGAGCUGCAGCUCUUAGCUGUCCCGGUGUCUAGGUGUCCUCUAGUUGUCUGGAUCAUGGUUUCCACUUAGCCAUCCCUGGUGCCCAAGAUACAGCUAAGGCUCAGCCAGUGUUUUUAGGGCUAUAGAUCCUGAGAC